AACGAACGCUGGCGGCAUGCCUAACACAUGCAGGUCGAACGAGACCUUCGGGUCUAGUGGCGCACGGGUGCGUAACGCGUGGGAACCUGCCCUUAGGUUCGGAAUAACUCCCCGAAAGGGGUGCUAAUACCGGAUAAUGUCUUCGGACCAAAGAUUUAUCGCCUUUGGAUGGGCCCGCGUUGGAUUAGCUAGUUGGUAGGGUAAAAGCCUACCAAGGCGACGAUCCAUAGCUGGUCUGAGAGGAUGAUCAGCCACACUGGGACUGAGACACGGCCCAGACUCCUACGGGAGGCAGCAGUGGGGAAUAUUGGACAAUGGGCGAAGGCCUGAUCCAGCAAUGCCGCGUGAGUGAUGAAGGCCUUAGGGUUGUAAAGCUCUUUUACCCGGGAUGAUAAUGACAGUACCGGGAGAAUAAGCUCCGGCUAACUCCGUG
rnacentral:rRNA from 1 species